AGAUUGAACGCUGGCGGCAUGCCUUACACAUGCAAGUCGAACGGCAGCACGGGAGCAAUCCUGGUGGCGAGUGGCGAACGGGUGAGUAAUACAUCGGAACGUGCCCAAUCGUGGGGGAUAACGCAGCGAAAGCUGUGCUAAUACCGCAUAAGAUCUACGGAUGAAAGCAGGGGAUCGCAAGACCUUGCGCGAAUGGAGCGGCCGACGGCAGAUUAGGUAGUUGGUGAGGUAAAGGCUCACCAAGCCUUCGAUCUGUAGCUGGUCUGAGAGGACGACCAGCCACACUGGGACUGGAGACACGGCCAGACUCCGUACGGAGCAGCAGUGGGAAUUUGGACAAGUGGGCGAAAGCCUGACCAGCCAUGCCGACGUCGCGAGAG
rnacentral:rRNA from 1 species